GGGUAGAUAGAUAAGUGGUUAAAAUGGUUUGACUGUAAAUCAAAUGGCUUCGGCCUUCGGGAGUUCGAAUCUCUCUCUGCCCA
rnacentral:tRNA from 1 species